UGCGACCUACUCUGCAGCUCACUGCAACACUGGAUCCUUAACCCACGGAAUGAGGCAAGGGGUCGAUACCUUAUCUUCAUGGAUACUAGUGGGGUUGGUUACAGCUGAGCCACUACAGGAAUUUCCAGACUGCAGUUUGGUAGCACCUCAGGAGGAGACAGGGCUCCUGCAGGGCCCAGGGCCGGCAGUGUCUCACCAAUAGCAAGCUGUGCCACAGUGCAGCCCAGCUGGUGAGCGAUGGGGAGAAGGUCCAUGACUUUGGCUUGUUGCUUCUUGCCGUCCUCACUCUGCACUUUCCUGUCUUUGAGCCACUGGUAGCCCUGGAGGCCGAGGAGAAUCAGCAAAAGACCGCUUCUCAGAUAGUCUACUCUGUCCAUCCUGAGCCCCCCAGUCUCACCUUGACGGUGACCUUGCAGGUGUCUGGGACUUGCCCGUCAUACUUGCUCGUGAUGAGGCCACAAGCCAGAGGGGACCAGGUGACUGAGCCAACACCUACGAGGAAGAAGAUUGGAUGUGGGGAAGGGAUCUAGGCGAUGGGGAGGCCGAGGGAAAAGUAGGGAUGAGGGGACUUCGAACCAAUCUUGUGGUAGAGCUCUGGCAGCUGCGUCUCCACCUUCUCUCUCUGGAACAGAUGGUGCUCAGCUUGUUCACACACUGGAGGAAUCAGAUUGAACUGUCUGGCCAUGGAGUAGGCCUCCUGGGUUGGGGUGCAGAAGAGACGGGGGUCAGAGCAUGGCUUCCACUUUCUCCCACUCCCCCCGCCUCCAGUAGAGUGAGGUUUGGAGCAGUCAUGUGAAAAGAGGGAACAAGUUGUGGGAUGGGGGAAGUGGCUGGCACACUCACCAUGAUUUCUGCAGCCCCCCAUCGGGAUGUCCCCCAGUAUAGGGCCAGGCCCUGGUUGAUGACAUAGGUCAUGGCUCGCACGAUCUCUAGGCACAUAGGAGAGGGAGAGCCUCGCUGUCAGACCCCUGGCAUCCUGGGUGCUAGAUCUGCAGACGUCUGCCUGCCCCACUAAGACCUCACUCAACCCUCUGAAGUCGGAGAGGUUGGUAUCUGCUCUUAACCCCCUUCCCUGUCCAAGUCCUGGGGUCUGAGCCUCCACUGUGGAGCUUGGGAAGCCUCCUGAGCAGGGGUGGCUUCAACUGUAAGUUUGAGGAGCACUCAGUUUUGAAGCUGUCAGGGUUGGGGUGCUGCUUUUACCCUCCAUGGGACUGUUGGGGUCUGAGCGAUUGGCAAAGACGAUGUCCACGUAUCCCAACUGGAGGCGUUCCAGGGAUCCUCGCAAGCCUGGGGUAGGGAUGGGGAGAGGAAGGUAAGCUCUUCUGCUUCAGUUUCCUAAGAGUUCAGACCUUACCCUUUUGCCAUGGCCACCUAAAUCCCAGCUUCCCUAUUUAAAGCCUCAGACGCAGAGCUUCAGAGAAUGUUCCCAACUCUGGCUUCCACAUCCAGCUGCCUCAGGUUCCCCAGCCCCUCACUCUCACCUUCAAUGAUAUGUUUGCGGCUCAAGCCUCGCUCGGUUUCUGCCCUGUAGGAAAAGGUGUAGCGAGGCAGACACUUACUGUCCUCCCCAGAAAAUCUUGGUGGCGAUAACGUAGCUUGAUCUCCUGGAAAAAAAGAGAAGUGAGAGAAUCAGCAAGAAAAGGAUUUUUGGAUGAUCUUGCUCCCGGCAAGCUGCCCCCGCCAAAAAACCCCAUGUCUUACCUCCAACCUUUGUUCUUGAGGAUGUUGCCGAGGGUUCUUUCAGCCCUGGAAGGAAGACAGUGCAGAAACACUGACCCCUCCAAGGCCAAGACAGGACACCCGAAGACCAGACUUUCCUAGGUUCCUAAAGGAUACAGAAGCAGCAGGAAGAGGUGGAGACUCCAUUAGGGACGUAGAUCAUCAGCCUCCAGCUCCUCUUUCCAGCCUGAGAUGCCCUCAGGGUAUCUCAGUCCAAAGAAAUUGGACUCCCUAUCCGAAUUGGACAGUGCUAUGGCUAUAGCAUAAGUGAACAAAUAAUGACUCUUCCUCUGUGGCCGCUGUCCAGUGCCUCUGUUCCCUCCUAGCGCAUUGAAGACAUGCUGUCUGCUUAGUGUUU